AGCAACACAGAAGAAGUCGGUGGCUAGAUAAGCGAAAAGAUGAAGAGUCGCAACGCAAGAAGGCUUAGGAUUUUUUAUUGGGAAAGUAGAGGUUAAAGGGUGAGAUGAUUGGAUAAAUGACUAGGAAAAAAAAAAUAUAAAGUGCAUAUAUAAUGAUAAUAAUACCUAAUUAUAUAUAAAUGAAUAAAUAAAUGAUAUAAUAUUAAUAGUAGUGGUACGGUACGGUAUACCCUAGUGCUUCUAUAAAUUGAUAUUUAAAGCUCUUUUUAUUCAUCAUAUUAGUUUUGGGAAAAUUUACUAUUUGUUUUUAAUUAAAAUUCGUUUUUAAUAUUACCCAAAUUCAAAAUCUAUUUUCUCAAUUUUUAGUUUUAAGUAAUUAAUUAGAAAUUGUUUCUACAUAAAUUAUCCAAAUAGUCAUCGAGGAGAACGAUCUUGCAUGAGCAUUUAUACUACAAUAUCCUUAUACUCUAGCAAGUAUUUUGUGUGAUUGUAUCUUUUUUUCGUAAGUGAGAAAAAUUCUAUCAUCGUUCUCCACAAAAAGUGAAUGAAUAGUUUAUGUAAAAUCAAAUUUUAGUUAAUUACUUGAAACAAAAUUUAGAAAAUGUUGAUUUUAAGACCUAAAAUAAGAAAAACGAAUUUAAUUAAAAAUAUCAGAAAAAUAAGCAAAAGUAAAAGAAACCAAAAUAAAACGAUUUGGAAAAUCAAUUUGCAAGAGCAAUAAUUGAACACUGAAUUAUGGACCCAUUUUAUUGACAGAUGGUCCUACCGCUUUUGGGUACAUAGCAAUUUUAGCAUUUAGUUCAUAAACCCCACCAUCGCACACCA
rnacentral:lncRNA from 1 species